UGACUUCCAAGAGAAGCUGUUAACUUCCAGAGAUACAUAAGUCUUUUAGGGAGAAAAGGAAACCUUCAAUUUAACUAAAUAGGAAAUGUAGAUGAAAUCUUGAUAUUCUUUGAUACGCCAAAAAUUAUAAAGUCAAUCCUAAAUGUGCUAAAGCAGUCAGGAUCAUGAGCAUAGAAUAUAAAAAGCAGUAUUUUUCUGUUAUGUAACUGCAUAUGCCUGGAAGCGAUUCAGGAGAAGAUUUGGAUCCUGAAUUAUUAAGAACAUUUGUAUAUUCUCCAGGGGCAGGAAGUCUUAUUACAUAGCUGAUGUCCAGAGGCCUCUAGCCUAUAAAUAGGAUGUCUCACUUGUCUCCUAAAUUCUAACAAUGAGCUAAAGGAGGAGAGGAGCUAAAGGAGGAGUAAGAAGGAGAUGCUAAGAGGAGAGAAAUGAAUAAAUGGCCUCUAAUAUUUGAGAGUCUGCCAGAAGAGACAGCAAAAAGACAUUGAAAUAAGCAUUGAGCUAGAUCCCGGAAGAUGUGCUGGCAGCUUCGAGUCUGAGUGUGGAGAUAGAAAAGGGAAAAAAAAAAUCCACGAAGGUGUUCAAAGUGUAAAUGCAAGCUUCUGAGAGGAUUUUCCUCAGACCUCACCCUGAGAACCUGCUGGUGACUGUGGCUAUUUCUUCUAAGCCUUACGUUGAAUAUCUCUGAAAGCUGGACCUAUUUUAGGAGCAUCUCUGAAGCAGAAGGAAGACUGGCUGGUCAUCCUCCAUCUGGGUUUCAUUCUUUUGCAUGUAUCUGUCCAACUCACAUAGGAGAUGAAACUUGUCAAUCAGCCUGGCCUGAGCUCCUGGUUGUAUCUCAAAGCUUUGUGAUGGUCCAGGUCAUCUUCUUUGUUCUUAGUGGCUCUCAGUGGUUGAGGGUGCGCCAAGACCAGACAGUAUCCCAAGCGAGGAUCCCAUUCGGUGCCUGGAUGAAGGCUGAUUGGAAGCCGGAUCCUCAGGCAGCAGCUGGGGACGAAUGUACUCACUCCUCUUCCAGUGAGAAACAAGGGAAUAGGCACUUUUGUUUGCCUUUCUGCACUGGGCCCUGAUAUAUAGCCAUGGCUGCUGCUGUGCCUGUUAAGAAAUGCU